UACGUAGGGGGCUAGCGUUGUCCGGAUUUAUUGGGCGUAAAGAGCGUGUAGGCGGCCAGGUAGGUCCGCUGUGAAAACUCGAGGCUCAACCUCGAGAUGUCGGCGGAAACCAUCUGGCUAGAGUCCGGAAGAGGAAAGUGGAAUUCCUGGUGUAGCGGUGAAAUGCGCAGAUAUCAGGAAGAACACCCGUGGCGAAGGCGGCUUUCUGGGACGGUACUGACGCUGGAGACGCGAAAGCGUGGGGAGCGAACAGG
rnacentral:rRNA from 1 species